AUUGAACGCUGGCGGCGUGCUUUACACAUGCAAGUCGGACGAGUGGCGAACGGGUGAGUAACGCAUCGGAACGUACCGAGUAUUGGGGGAUAACUGUUCGAAAGGACGGCUAAUACCGCAUAAUAUUCGAGCGGCCGAUGGUGGAUUAGCUGGUUGGCGGGGUAAAGGCACACCAAGGCGACGAUCAGUAGCGGGCCUGAGAGGAUGAGCGGCCACACUGGGACUGAGACACGGCCCAGACUCCUACGGGAGGCAGCAGUGGGGAAUUUUGGACAAUGGGCGCAAGCCUGAUCCAGCCAUGCCGCGUGUCUGAAGAAGGCCUUCGGGUUGUAAAGGACUUUUGUCAGGGAAGCGGUACCUGAAGAAUAAGCACCGGCUAACUACGUGCCAGCAGCCGCGGUAAUUC
rnacentral:rRNA from 1 species